CCUGGUCAGGCUAUGUUGCUUAUGAUGCAUCACAGCCUUCCUGGAGAGCAAUCCGCACAGCAAGCUGAGGGGAGCACUUCUGAAGUGACCUGCUCGCAUCACUUCCAGCAGCGGCCAAGAUCUCAAGCCAGGACCUCUGCUACCCACUGAAAAUAAUGGAGGCACAGGAGAUCCUUCAGCAGCUCCAUUACGCCAUUAUCCGGAAGCAGUCAGGUACAGCGCUUCUUCAGAGCCAGCUCUCAGUACGGGUGCUGCACACCCCUCCCUCCACAGUCUACAAGGACCUCAGUACUUCUGGGAAAUAAAAGCAAAUGUACCUAAUCCAUUUUGAAUUUGGAAAACCUCCAGUGAGACCAAUAAACAUCACCACUAAAUAAAAUAGUAAUAUUUUUACUUGGUAAAUAUAUUUUCUUUUAAAGUAAAGCAUCAAAGAGAAAUGGAGGUUUAACACUGAAAAUAAAAUUAUUAAAGGCUGUCCAAUAAAACUGAAUUACCA